rnacentral:lncRNA from 1 species
CUCAGCCAUCGUGACUAUGUAACCAGUAUUGGUCGGUGGCCCAAGGUCUCUCUCCUUUCAGGGUUCAACCUCCAACCUUAUUUCUGCUUCCUUCAUGUUGGAAUUCACACUGUGAGAAUUGUUGUCAUCCUUUCUCUACGACUCCAAGAGAAACUUUAUACUGGAGGAAGAAUAUUCUACCACUUUGGGAUGCUUCCAAAGAAAUGGGAUACCAAAGGAGUGAACUUCAGGUCAUUGGAAGUGGCCAAGCUGGAGGGCGACCUAUGGAGACAUGACCUUCAGUUCUUCCUGAGAUCGAUAAAGCUUAAAAGAAAAGAAAAAGCCAACUCAGCUUGUGCGUGGAUCCUGGACCUUGCUCUAAUACAGACCCCGCUCCUGGAGUUCUCGGCUUGGGUCAUGGAAAAACUGAAGAUGCAUUAGAUCAUCAAAGAAAAUGGCACAAACAACCCUGCAAAAGAAAGGAUCUUCUUCCAGAUUAAAUCUCUUAUAAUAUAACUCCUCUAUU